rnacentral:lncRNA from 1 species
GGUGAUCCCAACUGUCUAAAUCAGUUUGAAUAAUCUUUUCAACAUACAAUAGUAAAAAAAAGAAAAGUUCAAAUGAUCAACCAAUGAUUGAGUAUUUUAGAUAAAAUAACUUUUCCCUAAUGUGAAACCAGCUUCCGCAUCUCAAUUUCUCAAGAAUCUCUAUCAUCUAACUUUUCUCCAUAAACACCGAUAAACUUACAAGGUAAGGAUGUUUUUGUAAGAUAAAAGCCAAAUACUUAUUUCCCUUGAAAAGCUUCCAUAAACCACAAAGCUAAUCCAUAUAUGGGGGCAAGAGGGAGGAUAUUCAGCUUCAACAUGAGUAGAAAGACAUACUAAAUUCAAGUUUUAUAACAACUGUGUAAGAGCAUGAAACAGAUAGAAGGCAAAUGACCUCCAUCCGAUGAAUCAAUCUCCUUACAAGACUCAAGCAAGAUGCUCCUUGGCUCCUUUCAAAAACUAGCUUAAAUCAUCUCCACAAAUUUUCAAUCUUUACAUACAGAUAAGAGCAACAUUAUCCUCAAUAAGAAUCUUUCAAAUUCUGCUUGCUUGGUAUGAAUUCUAUUUACCUUCUACCUUUACUUGAAACAACCUUAAACUCUCUAAACAUUAAAUUUCCUAAUCUAUAGUCACACCAGUUUUAAAUCCUCAGUUUUGCAAAAUCACAAAUAAUGAAAACCAGAAAUUAAUUGAACAUGGGCAUUUAUAUCAUUUACUAAGAGGAAAGUGUAAUAUGUUUCACAGCAUAUAAAGCUAGAAUCAUGAUAUAAACUUAUCAGUAUCCAAUGUCAUAACAUGUCGGUUCUAUUCAAUGAUCUAAAUACAAGUUGUUGACCGAUCUUAUAUGAAAUCAGAACCAUUAAAGAUUGGUGUUUUAAAGUAGAUAGAAUUCCAUAUUAAGUAGUUAAAAGAAGAAAGAGCCAUUCCCAUAGGAUGUGAAAAGAAAACAAGCUCAAGAUAAUCACAGCUCUACUAAGAAAAGCACAAAAUGAUUUGGUAAUGGCUCUUUCUUCUAAGAAGGUGCAAAACCUUUGUUUUCAAAACCUUUCUCUGUUCUUACAAAUAAAUAUUUCUCUGCUCUUACAAAUAAAUAUUUGAUUAAACUUGACCAGUAAUGAUAUUAUUUUCGGAUUUGCACACAAAAUUAUAGAUUAAUACGUAUGAAAUCCAGAAUUAUAGAUCAAUAAAGAAGAAACUACCUGACGGUCAUCUAAGCAAAUGGAGCAAGCUGCACGAACUCCUGCACCAAAUGCAAUUGUCUACUCUUCAAACAUACCCUAUCAGCAUAAAAUCACUUGUGCAACACCUGGGAGGUAUAAACUAAGUAAAACGGUUUUGAUAACAAUACAGAAAAUCGGGUUCACUGCAGCACUCAACACAACCUUACAAUCCUAUAAUAAACUUUGAAGUACGAAUAUUGACACAGACACCAAAUGCAACACUUACACGGACACAUCGACACUGACAAUAAUUUGAUAAAAGGAAUUAAUUGAAUGUAAUCAAUGUGUCGGUGUCCAAUACUGAAACAUGUCGGAUAUUGGGACAAUUAUUCGAUAAGUAUCCGUGCUGCAGAGACAAUAAAAGGAAAUUAACACAAAUGGUGAACUUUGUUGUAUAUCAAAAUACAGAGGUCCUAGUAGUGCUACAAGACAAGACCCAAUAACAGAGAAACUAUAUCAAUCAAACUCAACAAUAAGACUAACUAUCAUAGAUCAAUGGUGCAACUAACAUUGAUGAUUCUAUAAAUGGUGUAAAGAAGAUGACAGAGGCAGUAAAAAAGAGGCUGCAUUUGCAAGCCAAUAAUUAAUAAUAAUGCAAUUAAGCGUGUACACAAGGUGGAGAAAAUCAAAACAAAACCCCACAAAAAAAUAAUAAUAACAACAAUGAGGAAAAACAAUUUACUCUUUAUAUCAUUAAAUACAAAUUUAUACAACAAAGAAGAAAAACAAAUAACUCAGAACCAUAAACACCGGCGGCGUCAACUGAGCUCACAUCUACUCCGAACCCCGGCGGGGAAGAAAGGUGUGACGGCUGGCCAUCAAUCCCCGGUGAAUUCUCCNNNNNNNNNNNNNNNNNNNNNNNNNNNNNNNNNNNNNNNNNNNNAAAGAGUGUCAUCAUACGAAGGAGGAGCACCACUUUCCGGAGGCGAUUUCGCAGACACAAUUGGAUUCUUUCCAAAAAUCUCUUUUGGUAACAAAACCUUAGAAACGCCGAAAAUCGCUAUAGGAUUCUGAUCAAACACCGUCUGAGUAAUUAAAGCUUGAACAAUGCCGGUAUUAAUCGCGACGGAGCCGUUAAACCUAGAAAUGUUGAGCGUGAAGCUUCCGGCGCCCAUGGUUUCAGUGGCGAGUGUAGGCUGCAAUGGAUUCGAAGUGGAUUGAAGUGAACCAAGAGGGUAAUAAGCACGGAGAACGUGGUUUUUGAGAACAACGGCUUUUUUAUCCGCCGGAAGUGAUUGUAACGAAACGGAGGGAGGUAGAUCGGCGAAAGCGUCAUCGACGGGAAUAAACAUCGUGAUUCCGGCGCCGCCUUCACCGGCUUCGAAUUCAUUAACGACGCCGGAAGCAGAAAGCAUUGAAGCAGCGACAUUGAAAUUAUGAGCUUCGAUUAAAGUUUUAGUAAUGUUUAGAAGUAUGCUAGGACGAGUUUCCGAUGCCAUGAGAUCAAAACCAUAAGGGAUUAAGAGAGAACUAACGGUGAAGAUUGUAACGUUGUAAGGUAGGGUUUUGAUAAGUUCGAUAACGGUUGCGUUUGAAGAAGAAUAAGGUGCAGGUGAACGGAUCGAAACGGCGUCGGUAUGAGGGUCGUGUGUGAUGUUAACGGAGCCGAAAUUGUUUGUAGCGCGGCCGGUAGUUUGGAAGAGAGUGGUGACGAGUUUUCCGGAGGGAGGGAGGGAGUGGAGGUCGGACCAUGAGAGAAAUUGGAGGAGAACGUGGUAGCGGAGGACGUCGGUGAGGGCGGAGGAGGAAAGUUGGUGGUGGGAGAGGUGAGGGUCGGUAGAGAGGAAGGAGUUUGGGACGGCGAGGAGAGAGAGGGAAGUGCGGUGGGAGAGUUCGGUGGUGAGGGGAGUUGCGGCGGAGAGGAGGGCGGUGAAUUGGGAUAAGUCGGGGAAGGUUGAGAGGAGAGCGGUGAUGUUGAGGGAGAGGGAUGGUGUUGGGGAUAAGAUUAGUAAAUAUAGCAUAAAUGUGAGGGUAAUUUGGGGAAGUAAAAUGCAAUUAUGAGAUUGAGAAGGCAUAAUGUUUGUUAAUUAAUCUCUGUCUUUCUAUGUUUAUCUAUGUAUGUAAUGUAACUAGUUCUUGUUCAAGUUGAAGUUGAAGUUGAAGUUGAAGUUCAAUGAUGGUGGAUCUGGAUUUAGAUUUGGUGGUGUUGUUGUUUUAGUUGUGUCAUGUUCCCUUGUCUGAGGUGUAGAUGAGGCAGAUGAGUGAAGUGAAGUGAACUGAGUGGAAGAGAGAGAGUGUGUGAGUGAGUGGGUUGCGUUGUGUUGUGUUUGUGUUUGUGUUUGUGUGAUCUGUCAUGAAUCAUGACUUGAGCACCAUGGUGAUGCAACGUAGAUGUGGACUGUUUUUCAUUUAUUUAUGGGAAACUAAUAAGGUAGAUCAGAAUUUUAAAAUUACAAAAAAUAAUAUCAACCAUCUACAACACUCUUCUCUUCUAUCAUCACAAUACUAUUCUCUUCGGUGAAUAUAUGUUAGAUGAAUUGGGUUUUAAAUAUCACAUUUAUUUUUUAUAUUCAAUAAAUUAUUGUUUCAUCCAUAAAAUAUAAGAGCAAUGCUUUAAAAAGUAUAGCAAAUUUUUUAUAAAAUUUUAAAUUAAUUUUGAGUAUUAAUUUAUAGUGGAUCAUUAUUAUUAAUUUUUUAAUCUUUAGUUGUUUAUUUGUAUCUACAUAUUAGCAAUUAUCUCCAUUUUUUUAUGGUUACCGUAUCAUAAUUUACUUUUUCUUUUACAAGUGUAUCUCAAUUUACUUGAUUAUUAUAUUAGUUAUGUAUUAUAUUAUUCACAAAAAUACAUAUUUAAUCUUUUAAGUAUAAUUCAAGUUUUAUUUAAGUUUUUAAAGAGUAUUUUUUUCUCAAUUCGAAUUUUUAAAUUACAUUUAUUUUCAUUUUUAGUAUUUAAGAUGCAUUAAAUUACGCAUGUAGUUUUUUAUGUUUGAAAUUUUUUUUUAAAUUACUCUCAUGAAUGUUAAAAUCUAAUCACAAUAAGUUGAUUCUUUAAGUUAUUUUGCAUGUGAAGAAAAGUAAAUAUAUUAAUUAUCUGAAUAGGUUGUUAUUACUUAUUGCAACAUUUGAUAGAAGUUCAAAUGAUCGUAAAAUUUUAAUUUGAUUGUUGUCAAAAUUGAGAUUGAUAUAACUAACGAUACAAAAAAAAUAUAACUUAAGAACCAAAUUGAGAUAGAACAAUUUUAAAGAACUUAAGCAAAAAUUGAGUUAAACUUAAAGAUCUAUAUGUGUGUUUUUUGUUUAUAUUAUUAAUAAAAGUACUUUAUAAAUGAAGUUUUAUUUUAUUAUAUAAGUAAGUCAUUUUUUUUAAAAAAAAAUAUACAUAAUUUUAAAUAGGGUCUAAUAAUGUUUAAUCAUUUUGUAACUACCAGUAAAUGUAAAGACAUUAAUAACACAUAAAUUUUCACUUUUCGCACUAAAGUGUAUGAAUCUAACUAAUAUAUUAUUUGACCAAAAUAAUAAUAAUAAUAAUAAUAAUAAUAAUAAUAAUAAUAAUAAUAAUAAUAAUAAUGACUAAUAAACAUAAUAAAUUGUACAUUCAUUAGUAUAUAUUUGGUUUUGUGAUAAAAUUAAUGGUAAAACUAUUAUAAGUAUCUCUCUAUAAUUUUGUCAUUAAACCAAAUAUACAUUUAAAAAUGUCUAUAAAAAAAUAAACAAAACUCAAAACGUAAUCGAAUUUUACUCAUAUAUGAGGGACAUUUAGUUUCUUUGUCCUAUUUGAGAUGCAUGCAAGUAGGGACAGGAAUAGGUUAGGUCGUCCGUCUGGGGAUGGUCUGGACCGACCUAUUUAAGGUCUGACUUGACCUAUUUAAUUAAAAAACUAGGUCCGAGCUAUUUUUAAAGCCUAUUUAUUUAAAUUGGUCAGACUCAAGCUUAUAAAAAAUCCAAUUAGCCCUGACAGACCGGCAUAUGUAUAUUUUAUUAUUUAUUAAUGUUAUUUUUUAUUAUUAUUUAUUAAUAAUAUUAUUUUCUAUUUUAAAGUCUAUUAAUUAGGCAAUCACUCAGUAGUCGAUCCAUAUUCGGUAGUCAUUCCAUGUUCGGUAGUCAUGUUCGAUUAGACAAUCACUGAGUAGUCAUUCCAUAUUUGUUUGAGAGAUAAUAAUAGGUGUGUUUGUUUCCGAAAAAAAUCUAUUAUUUGAAACCAAAAAUCAUGUUUUAGGAUUUAAAAGGUAUUUGUUUCAAAUUUUUUAAAAAUUAUUUUAUUAGAAAAAUCAUUUUUUGUUUAAUAUAUAUAAAUAUGUAUAGUGGUAUUGGUAUAUGGAGAACAUUAUGUGGUAUGAAUAGAACAUCAUGUAAAUUGAUAUGGAGACAAACGAGGGGGCACAACCUCAUAUGGAUAGUGCCGUCUUGAAGCAACAAUCUUUACAUUGAAAAAUGAUUUUGCUGAAGUAUAUGAUUGUAAUAUCUCUCUCUCAUGUAUGCAUAAUUAAUAAGUAGUGACUAAAGUGACAUAUACCUUUCGCCCUUUUCCAUUGUUUUUUUCGUCUUUCUCUAAUCCUAAAUUUCUUUCCCCCAAAUUCACAUUUUUCCACCAAAUUCUUGUUUUUCCCCUAAAUUCAAGUUUAAUCAAUUCAUCUUCAUCGAAUAUUAUAAUGAUGAAAAGUCAUCACCACAGUAACAUCAAUCUUCUUUCUCCCGGCUGAAAAAUUCUACACAAGUUAAAUUUAUGAAAGAUCAUUCUACACUUGCUCAAUAAAAAAAGUAAUGAUAAUCUAAGUUAUGGAUUUUAUAUUAAAGGAAAAAAUAAAAUUCAACUAAUUUGAGAUUAUGGUUUAUUUUUCUAAAUUCAGUUUGAGACUUAACUUUGAAAUCAAUAUUAUUUUUUCUAGAUUCGAUUUGAGAUUCAAAUUUGAAAUCAAUUUUAUUUUUGUUGUAGGAUGAAUAUGGCUAUUUAUAGAUACUUUGUAUAAGUUGACGAAUUGAUUGAAGCACUUGGAAAUGAUAAAACAAUUCAAACGUAUGUAAUAGAUCAAAGAUGAGAGAUUGAGAGCACCAAGAAAACGAUAUUGCCACAAAACAAAGAAGAGAUGAAGUGUUCAAGGACAAAGUUAAUACAAAACUUUAAUUUAUAGGGGUUGAAAUAAAGAUGUUUAGAACACUUGUAAUUGGUGUGUUUGCCAUGCAAAUGUUGUAUAUUGUUUGGGUUCACAAGUCAUAAAUUAGGUUUAGUAGUUUGGGUAGUUUUUAAUAUGAGUAGUUUGUAAUGGG